rnacentral:rRNA from 1 species
AGAGUUUGAUCAUGGCUCAGAACGAACGCUGGCGGCAGGCCUAACACAUGCAAGUCGAGCGCACCUUCGGGUGAGCGGCGGACGGGUUAGUAACGCGUGGGAACGUGCCCUUCUCUAAGGAAUAGCCACUGGAAACGGUGAGUAAUACCUUAUACGCCCUUCGGGGGAAAGAUUAAUCGGAGAAGGAUCGGCCCGCGUUAGAUUAGAUAGUUGGUGGGGUAACGGCCUACCAAGUCUACGAUCUAUAGCUGGUUUUAGAGGAUGAUCAGCAACACUGGGACUGAGACACGGCCCAGACUCCUACGGGAGGCAGCAGUGGGGAAUCUUGGACAAUGGGCGCAAGCCUGAUCCAGCCAUGCCGCGUGAGUGAUGAAGGCCUUAGGGUCGUAAAGCUCUUUCGCCAGGGAUGAUAAUGACAGUACCUGGUAAAGAAACCCCGGCUAACUCCGUGCCAGCAGCCGCGGUAAUACGGAGGGGGUUAGCGUUGUUCGGAAUUACUGGGCGUAAAGCGUACGUAGGCGGAUUAGUCAGUCAGAGGUGAAAUCCCAGGGCUCAACCCUGGAACUGCCUUUGAUACUGCUAGUCUUGAGUUCGAGAGAGGUGAGUGGAAUUCCGAGUGUAGAGGUGAAAUUCGUAGAUAUUCGGAGGAACACCAGUGGCGAAGGCGGCUCACUGGGCU